GAACUUCCGUUAAUUGAUUAUGACGGACUUGUACUGAUGGAGAUUUUAACACGAAGUGAGUGGCGAACGGGUGAGUAACACGUGGGUAACCUGCCCAGAAGUAGGGGAUAACACCUGGAAACAGAUGCUAAUACCGUAUAACAGAGAAAACCGCAUGGUUUUCUUUUAAAAGAUGGCUNCUGCUAUCACUUCUGGAUGGACCCGCGGCGUAUUAGCUAGUUGGUGAGGUAAAGGCUCACCAAGGCAGUGAUACGUAGCCGACCUGAGAGGGUAAUCGGCCACAUUGGGACUGAGACACGGCCCAGACUCCUACGGGAGGCAGCAGUAGGGAAUCUUCCACAAUGGACGCAAGUCUGAUGGAGCAACGCCGCGUGAGUGAAGAAGGGUUUCGGCUCGUAAAGCUCUGUUGUUAAAGAAGAACGUGGGUAAGAGUAACUGUUUACCCAGUGACGGUAUUUAACCAGAAAGCCACGGCUAACUACGUGCCAGCAGCCGCGGUAAUACGUAGGUGGCAAGCGUUAUCCGGAUUUAUUGGGCGUAAAGCGAGCGCAGGCGGUCUUUUAAGUCUAAUGUGAAAGCCUUCGGCUCAACCGAAGAAGUGCAUUGGAAACUGGGAGACUUGAGUGCAGAAGAGGACAGUGGAACUCCAUGUGUAGCGGUGAAAUGCGUAGAUAUAUGGAAGAACACCAGUGGCGAAGGCGGCUGUCUGGUCUGCAACUGACGCUGAGGCUCGAAAGCAUGGGUAGCGAACAGGAUUAGAUACCCUGGUAGUCCAUGCCGUAAACGAUGAUUACUAAGUGUUGGAGGGUUUCCGCCCUUCAGUGCUGCAGCUAACGCAUUAAGUAAUCCGCCUGGGGAGUACGACCGCAAGGUUGAAACUCAAAAGAAUUGACGGGGGCCCGCACAAGCGGUGGAGCAUGUGGUUUAAUUCGAAGCUACGCGAAGAACCUUACCAGGUCUUGACAUCUUCUGACAGUCUAAGAGAUUAGAGGUUCCCUUCGGGGACAGAAUGACAGGUGGUGCAUGGUUGUCGUCAGCUCGUGUCGUGAGAUGUUGGGUUAAGUCCCGCAACGAGCGCAACCCUUAUUACUAGUUGCCAGCAUUAAGUUGGGCACUCUAGUGAGACUGCCGGUGACAAACCGGAGGAAGGUGGGGACGACGUCAAAUCAUCAUGCCCCUUAUGACCUGGGCUACACACGUGCUACAAUGGAUGGUACAACAAGUCCCGAGACCGCCAGGUUAAGCUAAUCUCUUAAAACCAUUCUCAGUUCGGACUGGAGGCUGCAACUCGCCUACACAAA
rnacentral:rRNA from 1 species